UUAUUGUAGCUUGGGAAAUCUAAUAACACCAUCACAGUUAUUUUAGCUACUGCAAUUGAUGUCCAUAGUUUUUUUGAUGAACAAAUAGGUAAUAUACCUUGUGAGUUGACAAGGAGCCAGGUGAAUAUUGAAGCCCAGUAUAAAUACUUGUUCGAAAAGCAUCGCCACCAGCCAAGAAUGCAUACUACAAGAUUUGCCAGCAUGCAGCACACCGUCCAAGACAAGGACUCUGUCAAGCCGGUAGAAUUUUUGUUUCUCCUCCACAGCCAAAUUGUCAUGAGAGCGAUCUGCAAAUUAUAGCUUCAAUUGGUUCUUCAUCUUCUGUUGGUGGUUUACGAUCUUCCCAAGCUGCGAGCGCCUCUCUUCCAAGACGUUCUGAAGUCAAUUUCUUUACUGCUUUUAUCCAAAGCUGUUUCCUCGGUGAUAUUCCAAGCCUAGAGAUGGAGAAUACCAAAAAAGAGGGAAGCAAGAAGGAGACCAAGCAAAUUUAAAAUCUAAAUUUGCUCCAAUUUCAAAUCUCUGAAGAUCAAUGACGCUAUCGGGCAAAUACAAGAAAAAUACGAGAAGAAAGAACUGGCCGAUCAAAAGAACAUAUAGAUCAUUCAGAGAGACAUGAAUUUAAGUAAUUCAAUCAUACUAGCUUCUAAAGAAAUUUUAAUAAGAAAAAAUUCAAUCGUAUCAUAAUAAUUAGGUACAAAAUAAUAACAAAGAGAAUUGCGACAGUAUAAUUUGUCACUUAUAAAAAGAUUGCUUGUGCCAAAGACCUAAUUUCAUUUUGGAUUCGCUUCCAAAAUCCGCUCCAAUUCAAUGGGAUGAUUUUAGAAGUUAGAAAAUUCACUUAAAGACUCAUCAUUUUUCCAAAUUUUAACAUGAAAAAGGAAAUUAAAUGCAUCAUACUGUGUACCUUAAACAUUCGGUGGAUUGAACUGAAAAAUCCAAAUAAGUAUGCAACGACUAAAUUCUUCAAUGCACUUGAUUAACUAGCCGGUUUUCGUUUUACACACCAUAAACACACCAAUACAACACUC
rnacentral:misc_RNA from 1 species